UGAGUACAGGUUACUUCCUCCUAGUUUACAGAGAAAGCCAAACUGGCUUGAAAGAGGCAAAGAGUGGUAGAUCAGAGGUAGGAGAGAGCCUGUGAUAGCCCCAGGCUCCCAUGUACUUCAGCUAGAGUAAUUGGAACCCAGUGAAGUCACCCUUCUGCACCCAAAAGAUAUGAAAACAGAAGGGUGGCUUCACAGGGUACCAUAACAGUAUGGGUUUCAGGCAGCCUACACAGAGAAAGGUAUGUGCGGAGCAGAGGUGCCAGACUCCAACCCACCACCCAUUGUGCCAUCUGUCUCUGAUGCCCUAUGCUGUGUGCAC